UUCGGAGGUACUCGAGUGGCGAACGGGUGAGUAACACGUGGGCAAUCUGCCCUGCACUUCGGGAUAAGCCUGGGAAACUGGGUCUAAUACCGGAUAGUNNAGACCUCAAGACGCAUGUCUUCUGGUGGAAAGCUUUUGCGGUGUGGGAUGGGCCCGCGGCCUAUCAGCUUGUUGGUGGGGUGACGGCCUACCAAGGCGACGACGGGUAGCCGGCCUGAGAGGGUGUCCGGCCACACUGGGACUGAGAUACGGCCCAGACUCCUACGGGAGGCAGCAGUGGGGAAUAUUGCACAAUGGGCGCAAGCCUGAUGCAGCGACGCCGCGUGGGGGAUGACGGCCUUCGGGUUGUAAACCUCUUUCACCAUCGACGAAGGUCCGGGUUUUCUCGGAUUGACGGUAGGUGGAGAAGAAGCACCGGCCAACUACGUGCCAGCAGCCGCGGUAAUACGUAGGGUGCGAGCGUUGUCCGGAAUUACUGGGCGUAAAGAGCUCGUAGGUGGUUUGUCGCGUUGUUCGUGAAAUCUCACGGCUUAACUGUGAGCGUGCGGGCGAUACGGGCAGACUAGAGUACUGCAGGGGAGACUGGAAUUCCUGGUGUAGCGGUGGAAUGCGCAGAUAUCAGGAGGAACACCGGUGGCGAAGGCGGGUCUCUGGGCAGUAACUGACGCUGAGGAGCGAAAGCGUGGGGAGCGAACAGGAUUAGAUACCCUGGUAGUCCACGCCGUAAACGGUGGGUACUAGGUGUGGGUUUCCUUCCUUGGGAUCCGUGCCGUAGCUAACGCAUUAAGUACCCCGCCUGGGGAGUACGGCCGCAAGGCUAAAACUCAAAGGAAUUGACGGGGGCCCGCACAAGCGGCGGAGCAUGUGGAUUAAUUCGAUGCAACGCGAAGAACCUUACCUGGGUUUGACAUGCACAGGACGCGUCUAGAGAUAGGCGUUCCCUUGUGGCCUGUGUGCAGGUGGUGCAUGGCUGUCGUCAGCUCGUGUCGUGAGAUGUUGGGUUAAGUCCCGCAACGAGCGCAACCCUUGUCUCAUGUUGCCAGCGGGUAAUGCCGGGGACUCGUGAGAGACUGCCGGGGUCAACUCGGAGGAAGGUGGGGAUGACGUCAAGUCAUCAUGCCCCUUAUGUCCAGGGCUUCACACAUGCUACAAUGGCCGGUACAAAGGGCUGCGAUGCCGUAAGGUUAAGCGAAUCCUUUUAAAGCCGGUCUCAGUUCGGAUUGGGGUCUGCAACUCGACCCCAUGAAGUCGGAGUCGCAUAGUAAUCGCAGAUCAGCAACGCUGCGGUGAAUACGUUCCCGGGCCUUGUACACACCGCCCGUCCCGUCAUGAAAGUCGGUAACACCCGAAGCCA
rnacentral:rRNA from 1 species